UGGGUCCUACGGGACGCAGCAGUGAGGAAUAUUGGUCAAUGGCCGAGAGGCUGAACCAGCCAAGUCGCGUGAGGGAUGACGGCCCUACGGGUUGUAAACCUCUUUUGUCGGGGAGCAAAGAGAGUCACGUGUGACUCAUUGAGAGUACCCGAAGAAAAAGCAUCGGCUAACUCCGUGCCAGCAGCCGCGGUAAUACGGAGGAUGCGAGCGUUAUCCGGAUUUACUGGGUGUAAAGGGAGCGUAGACGGCAGUGCAAGUCUGGAGUGAGAGGCGGGGG
rnacentral:rRNA from 1 species